GGUGCUGACACAGACUAGAGCCAUCCUCAGCUAUCUUGCUGCGAAGUACAACUUCUAUGGGAAGGACCUGAAGGAAAGAGUCAGAUUUUGAAUGACCAUGGAGAGGAUUUUCUUGUUGGCAACAAAUUCAGCUGGGCAGACAUACAGCUGUUAGAAGCUAUUUUAAUGAUGGAAGAACGCAGUGCUUCUGUUCUUUCUGACUUCCCUUUACUAAAGGCUUUUGAAACAAGAAAUCAGCAACAUCCCUACAAUUAAGAAGUUCCUGCAGCCUGGGAGUCAGAGGAAACCACCUCCUGAUACCCACUACGUUGACUGUGUCAGGAACAUAGUGCUGCUCUAAUGGCAGCAGGUUGCGUGAUGGCAAACGUUAUGAUCCAGUCGCAGCACCAGCAUGUGCUGUCUGCAGAGGAUAAUAGAAGCGAACUGUAGAU